UACGUAGGGUGCAAGCGUUAAUCGGAAUUACUGGGCGUAAAGCGUGCGCAGGCGGUGAUGUAAGACAGAUGUGAAAUCCCCGGGCUCAACCUGGGAACUGCAUUUGUGACUGCAUCGCUGGAGUACGGCAGAGGGGGAUGGAAUUCCGCGUGUAGCAGUGAAAUGCGUAGAUAUGCGGAGGAACACCGAUGGCGAAGGCAAUCCCCUGGGCCUGUACUGACGCUCCAUGCACGAAAAGCGUGGGGAGCAAACAGG
rnacentral:rRNA from 1 species